GACGAACGCUAGCGGCAGGCUUAACACAUGCAAGUCGUGGGGCAGCAGGAUUGUAGCAAUACGGUCUCUGGUGACGGGCAAACGGGUGCGGAACACGUACGCAACUUACCCUUAACUGGGGGCUAGCCCGGGGAAACGCGGAUUAAUACUCCGUACUCUAAUUGAGUGGUAGCGCUUUAUUAUUAUAGCUCCGGCGGGUUGGGCUGGGCGUGUGGCUGAUUAGGUAGGUGGUUGAGGUAACGGCUCACCAGGCCUACGAUCAGUAACUGGUGUGAGAGCACGACGAGUCAGACGGGCACUGGGACACGGGCCCGACUCCUACGGGAGGCAGCAGUAAGGAAUAUAGGGGUAUGGAGUCAACUCUGACCCAGCCAUGCCGCGUGGAGGAUGAAGGCCCUCUGGAUUGUAGACUUCUUUUAUAGGGGACGAUACCUGUGUAUUCUUGCGCAGUUGACGGUACCCUAGAAAUAAGCACCGGCUAACUCCGUG
rnacentral:rRNA from 1 species